rnacentral:rRNA from 1 species
AUGGCUCAGAUUGAACGCUGGCGGCAUGCCUAACACAUGCAAGUCGAACGGCAGCACAGUAAAGAUUUCGGUCUUUAUGGGUGGCGAGUGGCGGACGGGUGAGUAACGCGUAGGAAUCUAUCUUGAAGAAUAGGAUAACCCGAGGAAACUCGGGCUAAUACUGUAUGAAGUCGAGAGACCAAAAGCAGGGGACCGCAAGGCCUUGCGCUUUGGGGUGAGCCUACGUCGGAUUAGCUAGUUGGUGGGGUAAAGGCCUACCAAGGCGACGAUCCGUAGCUGGUCUGAGAGGAUGACCAGCCACACUGGGACUGAGACACGGCCCAGACUCCUACGGGAGGCAGCAGUGGGGAAUAUUGGACAAUGGGGGAAACCCUGAUCCAGCGAUGCCGCGUGUGUGAAGAAGGCCUUCGGGUUGUAAAGCACUUUAGGUGGGGAAGAAAGGUAACUCGUGAAUAACGGAUUACUAUGACGGUACCCACAGAAUAAGCACCGGCUAACUCUGUGCCAGCAGCCGCGGUAAUACAGAGGGUGCAAGCGUUAAUCAGAAUGACUGGGCGUAAAGGGCGUGUAGGUGGUUGACUAGGUUUGAUGUGAAAUCCCCGGGCUUAACCUGGGAAUUGCGUCGAAAACGGGUUGACUGGAGUGAGACAGAGGGUUGUGGAAUUUCCGGUGUAGCGGUGAAAUGCGUAGAUAUCGGAAAGAACAUCAGUGGCGAAGGCGACAACCUGGGUCUUAACUGACACUGAGGCGCGAAGGCGUGGGGAGCAAACAGGAUUAGAUACCCUGGUAGUCCACGCGGUAAACGAUGAGAACUGGCUGUGAUGUGUAGGGAGCAAUCUCUGCAUGGCGUAGCGAAGCUAACGCGUUAAGUUCUCCGCCUGGGGAGUACGGCCGCAAGGUUAAAACUCAAAUGAAUUGACGGGG